GGUGCCAUGGCUUAGCUGGUUAAAGUACCUUUUUAGUAAACAGAAGAUCCUGUGUUCAAGUCCCAGUGGUACCU
rnacentral:tRNA from 1 species